rnacentral:rRNA from 1 species
AUGGAUGGUGUGCGCUCAGCCAAACACGCCCCAAACGUUUCAGAGGGUUGCAAUGUUUUUCUUGUCCCUGGUCCUUGCCCUCUCUUUCGUCCUCCGUCGUCUCGCCCAUCCCCCUCUCGUCUCCACAGUCCCACACACAAUCAAGCGAGGGAGAAGAACCAAAUCCCCAACCACUCGCCCGCCACCAAGCACGCAGCCGGAGCAAACAGCUCAUGCACCAAGGCCAGUGCAAUAAUAAUCGUCCCGGGCCCACGUCAAGCGGGACCCACAGGACGACCCCUGCACUGCGUCCAAAUUCAAUUCUACUGCAACCAACGAACAAAACAGGACGGACAAAAGCGAAGAGAGAGGAGAGGAGAGAGAGCCCCCAGCCUACAAGCCACCGGCCACCACCAGAUGUGAGACGAACAGAGCCAAGCCGACGAGGGUAGUUUUAAAACUCUGCGCCGAGAGGAGAUUUGCGGACUGCGGAGGAAGACCAACUGGGUGAAAUUCUGCGUCGGCGCGGGGGCGGCCAAUGGGAGGGGCGGAGGCGGCCGUCGUGGAGGCCGCGUCGACCGCUGCGGCAGCGGAGGCCGCUGAGGGCGGAGAGGACGGGCGGAUGGAGGGGUGGCUCUACCUGAUCCGAUCCAACCGGCUAGGGCUGCAGACCUCGCGCAAGAGGUACUUCGUGCUCGAGGACUCCGCGCUCCGCUGCUUCAAGGCCGCCCCGGCGCCUUCCUCCUCCAGCUCCAAGCGCGAGGAUCCUGUUAGAAGUGCAGUAAUUGACUCUUGUAUACGUGUUACGGACAACGGGAGAGAAAGUGUUCAUAGAAGUGUUUUUUACAUAUUCACACUCUACAAUGCCUCUAACCACUAUGAUCAGCUGAAGUUGGGUGCUAGAAGCUCAGAAGAAGCAGCAAGAUGGAUCAGGUGCUUAAUGGAGUCUGCCUUAAAGUCCCCCAGAAAAGAUGAGCAUGUUGUUGCUUGUUCACAUAGAAGGUGGCAGGCUUUCAGACUAAGCCGCCGCAGUAACCGCAUGCACUCAAUAGAUUGGACAAUAUUGUCAUCUUCUCAUAAUGAUCCAAUGGCAUCUGAUGUUAUUGCACCUUCUGCAUGGACAAUAUUUGGCUGUACAAACGGAUUACGUUUGUUUACUGAGGCAAAGGAUGGUGGCUCACGUGGGAAGUAUUGGGAUGAUCAUCCAGCUAUAAUGGCAGUUGGUGUCGUUGAUGCAAAUUCUGAGGAUAUCUUCCAGACUUUAAUGUCUCUUGGUCAAUCAAGAUCCGAGUGGGACUUCUGUCUGCGGGAAGGAAGGGUGGUUGAGCAUCUAGAUGGACAUUCAGACAUAAUCCACAAGAAAUUAAGAGGGGACUGGCUACCAUGUUUUCAGGGGAAUGAGAAAGAGAGAUCUAUUACUUAGACGAUAUUGGAGGAGAGAAGACGAUGGAACUUAUGUUAUCCUGUACCACUCUGUUUUCCACAACAGAUGCAGUCCUGAGAAAGGCUACAUCCGUGCAUGUCUUAAAAGUGGAGGAUAUGUAAUAUCACCAGUUAGCCAAGGAAGACAAUCAGUUGUGAAGCAUAUGCUUGCUAUAGACUGGAAAUUCUGGAAGUCAUAUCUCCUUACCUCAUCCGCAAAAUACAUCACCAUACGUAUGCUAGGAAGAGUAGCAGCCCUACGAGAAUUAUUCCGAGCAAAAAAUGGAAACUGCGCUUGUAUGGAAUUCUCAUCGGGUGAGCUGAUGAGGGAUAUGGGACUGCCGCAGGGUGGAAACGAGCGGACAAAAAUAGAAAUGCAGUCAGCAAAUGAGUGUGAAAGACUUGAGGGUCCUGUAGAAGGACCACAGGGUGGUUCUAACCGGCACUUAAGCAGUACUGGUUCCCUUGUUCAACUUAAUGAUGCAACGGAUGAGUUCUUUGAUGUCCCAGAUGAAUCAGAAUAUGAUCAGAGAGAAGCCAUGUGGUCUUCUGAUGAGAGCACACAUGCUGCGGACCAACGACAUGCUAAAUUAUCCAGUGCUGCUGUCUUUGUACGGAAGUUGCAUGAUCUUGCAGUUCAAAAGAGAGGGUACGUUGAUUUACAGGGAGCUGCAGAUGCUGAUAAUGGACCAUGUUACUAUGGACAUACUCUCCCAAAAGAUUCUAGCUGUACAAUGCCUUCUAGUUGGUCAAUGACAGACCCGACAACAUUCUUAAUACGGGGAGAAUCCUAUUUGCUUGAUCGUCAAAAGAUCAAAGCAGAGAAUACACUGAUGCAAAUGGUUGGUGCUGACUGGAUAAAAUCUGAUAAGCGUGAGGAUGAUCUUGCUGGUCGUCCUGGCGGACUAGUCCAGAAAUAUGCAGCACAAGGAGGCAGCAAAUUUUUCUUCAUUGUAAAUAUACAGGUUCCUGGUUCUACCACGUACAGCUUAGCUUUGUAUUAUAUGAUGGAUACCCCAUUGGAAAAGGUUCCUCUACUUGAAAGAUUUGUAAAUGGAGAUGAUACAUUCAGAAACUCAAGGUUCAAACUCAUCCCUUAUAUCUCAAAGGGAUCUUGGAUUGUGAAGCAGAGUGUGGGCAAGAAAGCUUGUUUGGUUGGUCAAGCACUAGAAAUCAAUUAUUUCCGUGGAAGCAACUAUUUGGAGCUUGGAGUUGAUAUAGGCUCGUCAACAGUGGCACGAGGUGUGGUGAGCCUUGUGCUCGGGUACUUGAACAACCUGGUGAUUGAGAUGGCCUUCUUGGUACAGGGCAACACGCAAGAAGAGCUCCCGGAGUUCCUCCUAGGCACCUGCCGACUGAAUUAUCUCGACGCCUCCAAAGCUGUAUCGCUAGACGAAUGCUGACCUGACCUCUCAAGGUCAAGGAGGCCUCAAGUUGACCCCAAUUCUCUUUGGAAGCAUGAGUACAGCACAUCAAAGCCGAAAAGGCUCAAGCUACUCCCCGUGUCCACCCGCCAUACACUCAUUUGUCUGCCUUGCCGCCCACAAAAGUGUGGGGGGUUUGCCGCAGCAGUGUACAUUCAUUUCUCCUCCUGCUGCAAAUAGGAGGUGUUGCGGUGUAUUGAUUGAUUGAUUGAUGAUGGCAGUGUACUACUCGUAUGAUGCAAAUCCUUGCUCCCAUUCUUUGGCCGACAGCUCGUCAUUUCAUUCAUCAUGUAAAAAUUGAGACAAAAGGAAAGUGUAUUCUAACCCUGACCUCGUG